UCUCAGAUAGUAUAGUGGUCAGUAUUUCGGCUUGUCAUCCCUGUGACAGCUCGCCGGAGGCCGGGGUUCGAUUCCCCGUCUGAGAG